rnacentral:rRNA from 1 species
UUGAAAGGGAAACGAUUGAAGUCAGUCGUACCGACGAGAAAUCAGCUCUUUGAGUGUGGACUUGUGGGCGUGCGUGAGCUUUACGGUCUCGCUGUUUGCAAUGUUUGUUCUUUUUGGGUGUACUUUUUCGUAUGGUUGGCCAACAUCAGUUUCGAUCACUAUAAAAUGACUGGCGGAAUGUAGCUUCGAUUUCGGUUGAAGUGUUAUAGCCUCCGGUAGAUGUGGUGAUUGGGACUGAGGAUUGCAACGAAUAUCCUUUGGGCUAUCCGUCUGGCCUCUGAAAGUUGCUUGGGUGCUGAAAGCUUGCUUAUGGUCAUCGAAAGUGAUCGUCAAAAGGUUAGAACGGGUUAAAUUCGUUAAGGAUGUUGACGUA